AGGCGCCUCCGCCAGGCCCAGGCUUCGGGCCUACCUGCAGGCCUCACGCCAGGGGGCGGGGCCAGCGCGGGCAGGGCACGCAUGCGCGGUCGUGCCCUGGGCCUGGCUCCUUUUAACCCCAUAAGAUAGUAUUUCUGGUCGCACUGGGGUCAGAUUUAUCUCCCCAAAAUGGUUUUUUAGGGCCCGGAUUUUUAUGUCAAGGGUCAGAUUUUUAAAGGCCAGAUCUGUCCCCCCAAAAUGGGCUUUUAGGGGUAUGUUUACCUCCCCAAAAUGGGUUUUUAAGGGUCAGAUUGAACCUCCAAAAUGGUCUUUUUGGGCCCAUAUUUAUUAUAUUUCUGAGGUCAGAUUAAUUUCCCCCAAAAUGGGCUUUUAGGAGCUAUAUAUAUAUAUAUGUGUAUGUAUUUAUAUUUAUAUAUUCAGAUUGAACCCCAAAAAUGGUCUUUCUGGGCCCAGAUUUAUAUUUCUGAGGUCAGAUUAAUUCCCCCCAAAAUGGGUUUUUAGGGCUUUGUUUACCUUCCCCAAAUGGGCUUUUUAGGGGUCAGAGUGAACCCCCAAAAUGGUCUUUCUGGGCUCAGAUUUGCCUUUCUGAGGUCAGAUUAAUUCCCCCCAAAAUGGGUUUUUAGGGCUUUGUUUACCUUCCCCAAAUGGGCUUUUUAGGGGUCAGAUUGAACCCCCAAAAUGGGCUUUCUGGGCUCAGAUUUGCUUUUCUGAGGUUAGAUUAAUUCCCCCCAAAAUGGGUUUUUAGGGCUUUGUUUACCUUCCCCAAAUGGGCUUUUUAGGGGUCAGAUUGAACCCCCAAAAUGGGCUUUCUGGGCUCAGAUUUGCCUUUCUGAGGUCAGAUUAAUGCCCCCCC